rnacentral:sRNA from 1 species
AUAAAUAAUUUAAAAUAACAUCAUUUAGUUUUAUGCCUUGUUCAAAAAAUCGCUAGGCGCUAGUCGGGCGGUGAUGGUGGGCCUAGCGCCUAGCAGGAAAAUCGGAGAUUAUACGGAGAUUAAUCGGGGAUUAGUUUUAGGGUUGCUUAUUUUUUUUAAAACAUAUUAAUCUAUUAUAGUUAAGAAAUCUCUAUAAU